CCAAAGUGCCAAAAGCCCUAAUCGCGCGUCUCCGCCAUCCCCGCCCAUCUCCGACUAAAUCUCCACCAUCUUUCAGCCAUUAAACUUCCACCAAAGCUCCAUAGAAAAGGCCACCUUCUGCUCCUAUUAAACCAGCAUCGAUUGCUUGAAGAAAAUCAUAUUUCAAUCUCUCUGUUAGAGACAACAAAAUUGCAUAAAUCCUUUUUGGUGAUAUCGACUGCUCGACGGAUAAAUUUUUGGUGUCUGCUGAAAUUUGUCGGCGUGUGAAACUCCAAGGAAACAAAGAAACUAACAUCAUUCCAAGACUUAGGAUUUGAGCGGGUGAAAUCACAGGUACUUUCUUUCUCUCAAGUUUUUUGCCUAUAUUUAAUGGGUUUUCUUUAAUUUUUUGUCAAAUAAGGGUACAAUGUGUAUUAUCUAAAUCUCAAAGCAUAAGUUUUGCUAUAUUCAGUCAAGGAAAUUUGCUAGGUUUUAGUCGUCAUUUUCUUUCAAGAUUUUUGGUUUCCUUCAUCUUCAGUCCGUUUCUCUUUUAAUCUCUCAAGUUUUUCGCCUACUUUUUUUAAUGGAUUUGUAUAAAGAGGGUUGCUAAAGGAACGAUAAAGAAUUUUUCUUAUUUUUCUGUUGUGGGGUUUUCUUGAAUUUAAUAUUUUUGGUGGUUGGAGGAAGAAAGAUGUGAAAUUUCUGUUAGUGGAGGAAGUUGGAAUGUUAAAGAUUUGAAUUUUUUUAACCUUUUCGAUACGUGAGUUUGAACGAGUUAAUGGAUUAACUGGUUUGAGAUUUUUAUUGAAUUACUUUAGCUAGUUUGCUGCUUGGUUUAGCGUUUAUUGUUGUUGUAUUUCUUCCUUUUAUAAGUACAGAAAAAUAGGGAGAGAAAUAAUCAGAGUAAUGUAUGCUAACCUGAGGAAUGUGUCGACAGGGUUUCGCAGGCUUGGCCUGUUGAACAGAUGAUGAGAAUUCAUUGGGAAAUACUUACCUCUCCAAUUACAUCGAUGUCUCUGUUGCCUAUGAUGACCUCUAAGAAUUUUGAACAACUUGUACAUAACAUUUAGCAAAAUUUAUGUAUUUUGCUGUAAAUUUAUUUCAAAGCUUAUCAGGUUAUGCAGUUUAUUCUUCUGUUC
rnacentral:lncRNA from 1 species